rnacentral:rRNA from 1 species
UACGAAGGGGACUAGCGUUGUUCGGAAUCACUGGGCGUAAAGCGCACGUAGGCGGAUUGCUAAGUCAGGGGUGAAAUCCUGGAGCUCAACUCCAGAACUGCCUUUGAUACUGGCGACCUUGAGUCCGGGAGAGGUGAGUGGAACUGCGAGUGUAGAGGUGAAAUUCGUAGAUAUUCGCAAGAACACCAGUGGCGAAGGCGGCUCACUGGCCCGGUACUGACGCUGAGGUGCGAAAGCGUGGGGAGCAAACAGG